CUGGCACAAACCAGAUCUUGGCACGCAGGAGAAUGUGCAUAAGCUGGAGCCUGAGGCGUGGAAACACGUGGAAGCCGUAUAUAUAGACAUUGCAGAUCGAAGCCAAGUGCUCAGCAAGGUAGGAUCCGUUUAAAGACGUGGGUGGCCUUCGAGACGCAGAAAUGACUUCUCAAUGCUAAAGAAACCAGGAAACCAUACCCAACUUGGCACAAAAGGAAAUUCUGAUAUGUCUUGCUUGUUUUAUUUUUAAAAGUGAGUAUUAGGAGAUUUUUUGUCUUGAGUUGGGGAUGCUACCAGAAAAUUAGUGGCCCAAAUUUGUGUGCCCUGUUUGGCCUCUGAAAAUUAUUACUGGACUAAGUAGGUAUUGUAGCUAGAGUAUUUUGCCCUGCUAAAAUGAUGCUUAGCCUGAAAAAUCGGAGCACCAGUUCUCAAAUUUAUUUUUCCAACUCAGUAAUUAAAAAAACAUUUACUUCCUGCCUACUGGGUUGUGGAAUAUUGUCAGGAUCUCUGGGUUCCAGGUGAGGGAUGCAGAAGGUAUGAAAAGACAG
rnacentral:sRNA from 1 species